rnacentral:rRNA from 1 species
ACCACUCAGGAUGAACGCUGGCGGCGUGCCUAAUACAUGCAAGUCGAACGAGUUCUCGUUGAUGAUCGGUGCUUGCACCGAGAUUCAACAUGGAACGAGUGGCGGACGGGUGAGUAACACGUGGGUAACCUGCCCUUAAGUGGGGGAUAACAUUUGGAAACAGAUGCUAAUACCGCAUAGAUCCAAGAACCGCAUGGUUCUUGGCUGAAAGAUGGCGUAAGCUAUCGCUUUUGGAUGGACCCGCGGCGUAUUAGCUAGUUGGUGAGGUAAUGGCUCACCAAGGCGAUGAUACGUAGCCGAACUGAGAGGUUGAUCGGCCACAUUGGGACUGAGACACGGCCCAAACUCCUACGGGAGGCAGCAGUAGGGAAUCUUCCACAAUGGACGCAAGUCUGAUGGAGCAACGCCGCGUGAGUGAAGAAGGCUUUCGGGUCGUAAAACUCUGUUGUUGGAGAAGAAUGGUCGGCAGAGUAACUGUUGUCGGCGUGACGGUAUCCAACCAGAAAGCCACGGCUAACUACGUGCCAGCAGCCGCGGUAAUACGUAGGUGGCAAGCGUUAUCCGGAUUUAUUGGGCGUAAAGCGAGCGCAGGCGGUUUUUUAAGUCUGAUGUGAAAGCCCUCGGCUUAACCGAGGAAGCGCAUCGGAAACUGGGAAACUUGAGUGCAGAAGAGGACAGUGGAACUCCAUGUGUAGCGGUGAAAUGCGUAGAUAUAUGGAAGAACACCAGUGGCGAAGGCGGCUGUCUGGUCUGUAACUGACGCUGAG